rnacentral:rRNA from 1 species
AAUGAACGCUAUCGGUAUGCUUAACACAUGCAAGUCGGACGGACUAAUUAGGGCUUGCUCCAAUUAGUUAGUGGCAGACGGGUGAGUAACACGUGGGAAUCUGCCCAUCAGUACGGAAUAACUUUUAGAAAUAAAAGCUAAUACCGUAUAUUCUCUACAGAGGAAAGAUUUAUCGCUGAUGGAUGAGCCCGCGUCAGAUUAGGUAGUUGGUGAGGUAACGGCUCACCAAGCCGACGAUCUGUAGCUGGUCUGAGAGGAUGAUCAGCCACACUGGGACUGAGACACGGCCCAGACUCCUACGGGAGGCAGCAGUGGGGAAUAUUGGACAAUGGGCGAAAGCCUGAUCCAGCAAUACCGAGUGAGUGAUAAAGGCCCUAGGGUUGUAAAGCUCUUUUAGCAAGGAAGAUAAUGACGUUACUUGCAGAAAAAGCCCCGGCUAACUCCGU